rnacentral:misc_RNA from 1 species
UUAAUUUAAUUUAAUUUUAUUUUUUGAAACUGUGCUGUUGAUGUUGGUUAAUUAUAACGAAGACUAAAUACUGUACUUCUUUGAUGUCUAAGUAAUGAUAUGUUUAUUUUUUGUUACGUAAUAUAUCGUGCAAUAAAAACACUCGUAAUUAAUAAUAGUUCUCAUUUGCGGAGUUGGAUAAAUUAUUGUUUAAUCAUGCCUUAUUUUUAUAUUGAAUAGCCAUUUUUCAAUCUUAUUAACGUUUUAUGUUUUAAAAAACGGACGUUCAAGAUGGAAAUGCUCUUCUAACAAU